UCAGCUGGGCUUUGGUGUUGGAGUCAUUAAUGACAUGUCUCUAACUCUUCCCUCUGCAG
rnacentral:pre_miRNA from 1 species